UACGUAGGGUGCGAGCGUUAAUCGGAAUUACUGGGCGUAAAGCGUGCGCAGGCGGUUUUGUAAGCCAGAUGGGAAAUCCCCGGGCUUAACCUGGGAAUGGCAUUUGGGACUGCAUUGCUGGAGUACGGAAGAGGAAGGCGGAAUUCCCGGUGUAGCGGUGAAAUGCGUAGAUAUCGGGAGGAACAUCAGUGGCGAAGGCGGCCUUCUGGUCCAGUACUGACACUCAAGUGCGAAAGCGUGGGGAGCAAACAGG
rnacentral:rRNA from 1 species